rnacentral:rRNA from 1 species
AAAGGCGAAAAGAACCCCUGUGAGGGGAGUGAAAUAGAACCUGAAACCGUGUACGUACAAGCAGUAGGAGCACCUUCGUGGUGUGACUGCGUACCUUUUGUAUAAUGGGUCAGCGACUUAUAUUCAGUGGCAAGGUUAACCGUAUAGGGGAGCCGUAGCGAAAGCGAGUCUUAACUGGGCGCUCAGUCUCUGGAUAUAGACCCGAAACCGGGUGAUCUAGCC